rnacentral:rRNA from 1 species
UACGUAGGGACCAAGCGUUGUUCGGAUUUACUGGGCGUAAAGGGCGCGUAGGCGGCAUGACAAGUCACUUGUGAAAUCUCCGGGCUUAACUCGGAACGGCCAAGUGAUACUGUCAAGCUAGAGUGCAGAAAGGGCAAUCGGAAUUCUUGGUGUAGCGGUGAAAUGCGUAGAUAUCAAGAGGAACACCUGAGGCGAAGGCGGGCUACUGGGCCGAUACUGACGCUGAGGCGCGAAAGCCAGGGGAGCGAACGGG